GGUUCCGUCCGACUCUAACAUGGCGGCGCCCUUUCUCUGUUUAGAAGUGCCGUCCCGCCUUCUCGCGGCCGUGACGCCCCUCACGCCACGGUGGGGUCCGGGACAUGGCGGGUGAGGGUAAUGAUCUGGAGGAGGAGAGCCAAGCUGGAGUUUCCCCGUCAAGCUGUUGGAACAGAGUAGCCUGGGCUACUUGGAAAUCUGAGUAGGUCAUCCAGAGGACCUAAGACAUAGUGGCUACUAAUGGACUCUUUCCACGGUGCUUCUUCAUGCCAUACUCCUGCAAGGACAGUGAGUAUCACAGCUUCCCUUGAACUUGAUCCGGUAAGUCUUGGCCUCUAUAAGAAAGUUUCAUGCCUGUCUUACCUGAUUUUCUUUUGUGUAUUGACGUGGUUGUUUUGAAAAAUAAUUUACUUUCCAGUAAUCUAGAAUGUAGAGAAAGCUCCUAAUAAUGGUAAAAAGUACUCCCAUUUACCACAUCACCUAAAAUACUCCAUGUGUUUUAUCCAAAAUGAACGCUUUCUUCUGCGGAACCAGCACAUAACCACCGAAAUCAGGAAAUCAUAUGGUUUCCACAUUAUAAUGUAAUUCACAGGCCUACUUCCACUUUCAGCAGUGUCCCAGUUGUAUGAAUAUAUCUUUUUUCCCGUCCUCAUCUAGUUUUUGUUUGGAGUGUUACUGAGAUUUUUGGUCAUUUGGACAACCUUGGUGGACUUAAAGCAGACAAGGUGAAUAUGCGAUCAGAGUGGCCUUUUCUGUAUGGAAUUUUUUUCACUAAAAAUGUUUGUAAUGUUUAUUCAUGUUGUAACAUGUAUCAAUACUACAUUCUUUUUUCCCAUUGUAAUUAAAAAUAAAUAACAUGCCAUUUGCCAUUUAAAUCAUUGUAAACAUACAGUGUUGUAGUAUGAACUAAUUGACUUGUACAAACCAGUUUAGUAACAUGUGUACCUUGUGUGUUCUUUGGAGAAACCAUUCAGUGUCUAAGGCAUUGCCCUCGUAAAGAAGUGUGCCCAGGUUCAAUCCUUGGUCAAGGAACUAGAUCCCCCAUGCCACAGCUAAGAGUUUGCAUGUUGCAGCUAAAUAUCUGGCUUGACUAAAUGAAGGUCAGCUCGGCGCAGCCAAAUAAACAAACAAAUAAAAGGAAAGAAGGGUAUGGUUGUUGUGCAGAUUUACAUCUUAGCCUUUCCUAUUGAUAAAGAGUUUCUCAAGACUGUCUUCCUUCUAUCUGGUAUAGAGAGAAACUUCCUUUGAAAUGAGAUUUCUCUUGUCAGUGUGACUCACAGAAGAGCCAUGUUGACCUGGGUUUCAGAGAUGAUCAUGUGUCCUCUAAGAAAAUUAAUUAG